GCCUGGCUGGCUCAGUUGGUAGAGCAUGGAACUUUUGAUCUCAGGGUCAUGAGUUCAAGCCUCGUGUUGGGCG
rfam:Felis catus isolate Cinnamon breed Abyssinian chromosome C1, whole genome shotgun sequence.